rnacentral:rRNA from 1 species
CCUACGGGAGGCAGCAGUGGGGAAUAUUGGACAAUGGGGGAAACCCUUAUCCAGCGACGCCGCGUGAGGGAAGAAGGUUUUCGGAUUGUAAACCUCUGUCAGUGGGGACGAUAAUGUCGGUACCCACGGAGGAAGCCACGGCUAACUACGUGCCAGCAGCCGCGGUAAUACGUAGGUGGCAAGCGUUGUCCGGAAUUACUGGGUGUAAAGGGAGCGUAGGCGGGAUGUCAAGUCAGAAGUGAAAAUUAUGGGCUCAACUCAUAACCUGCUUUUGAAACUGAUAUUCUUGAGUGAAGUAGAGGCAAGCGGAAUUCCGAGUGUAGCGGUGAAAUGCGUAGAUAUCACGCAGAACUCCGAUUGCGAAGGCAGCAUACCGGCGCUCAACGGACGCUCAUGCACGAAAGCGUGGGUAUCGAACAGGAUUAGAUACCCUUGUAGUC